rnacentral:rRNA from 1 species
GGUUAACGCUGGCGGCGUGCCUAACACAUGCAAGUCGAACGGUUCUAAGCGCGAGCUUAGGAUAGUGGCGAACGGGUGAGUAAAAGGUAGGAAUCUACCCCUUGGACGGAGAUAGCUACUGGAAACGGUAGGUAAACUUCGAUAAGCCCGAGAGGGGAAAGUGGUGAGACAGCCGAGGGAUGAGCCUACUCUCCAUCAGGUAGUUGGUGAGAUAAAAGCUUACCAAGCCGAUGACGGAUAACCGGUGUGAGAGCAUGAACGGUCACAAGGGCACUGAGAGACGGGCCCUACUCCUACGGGAGGCAGCAGUGGGGAAUCUUGGACAAUGGGCGAAAGCCUGAUCCAGCGACGCCGCGUGGAGGAAGAAGUCCUUCGGGUUGUAAACUUCUUUGAUCGGGGACGAAGGAAGACGGUACCCGAGGAACAAGCCACGGCUAACUACGUG